GAGCCGAAGCGUUCAAGUACACCUUGACUGGGACCACGGCCCGUAGAGGGUGAUAGGCCCGUGAGACCUUUGGCUUGCUGCGCUGGCUUUUCCCUAGAGUCGAGUUGUUUGGGAGUACAGCUCAAAGCGCGUGGUAAACUCCACGUAAGGCUAAAUAUGACCCCGAGACCGAUAGCGAACAAGUACCGUGAGGGAAAGUUGAAAAGCACUUUGAAGAGAGAGUUCAAGAGUACGUGAAACCGCUUAGUAGUAAACGGAGGGACUCUCGAAGUCGGCGGUGACGGUUCAGGGUGACGGCGGGGCGGCCUGGGGGCGUGGGAUCCGCAAGGACCCUGUCCCUUUGUCAGCUCUGUCGGCGCCUGCACUUCGUUGCCGCCAUACGCGAUGAACCGUUUCUGGCGGACCGAGGGCGUGGGUGAAGUUUGUUGGCUUCGGCUUUCAAGCCCCGCGUUCCUGGCUCUGUCGGGGACGGGUAGUGGAGCGAUCUCUUAUAGAGAGUGCCCUCGCUGGCACGGUUCGCAUCUCUAUCGCGAGUAGGUCGGCGGUCCCUCCGACCCGUCUUGAAACACGGAC
rnacentral:rRNA from 1 species